AUUGAACGCUGGCGGCAUGCCUUACACAUGCACGUCGAACGGCAGCACGGGUGCUUGCACCUGGUGGCGAGUGGCGAACGGGUGAGUAAUACAUCGGAACGUACCUUAUCGUGGGGGAUAACGCAGCGAAAGCUGUGCUAAUACCGCAUACGCCCUGAGGGGGAAAGCGGGGGAUCGCAAGACUUCGCGAGCUUAGAACGGCCGAUGCAUGAUUAGCCAGUUGGUGGGGUAAAAGCCCACCAAGGCGACGAUCAGUAGCUGGUCUGAGAGGACGAUCAGCCACACUGGGACUGAGACACGGCACAGACUCCUACGGGAGGCAGCAGUGGGGAAUUUUGGACAAUGGGGGCAACCCUGAUCCAGCAAUGCCGCGUGAGUGAAGAAGGCCUUCGGGUUGUAAAGCUCUUUUGUCAGGGAAGAAACACCGGCUCUAACACAGUCCGGGAAUGACGGUACCUGAAGAAUAAGCACCGGCUAACUACGUGCCAGCCGCCGCGGUAA
rnacentral:rRNA from 1 species